UCCUCUUUACAGAGGCAGUUUGUUCCGAGUCCCCGGCAUUAUCCGCUGGUAACAGAACAUGAGGGUUGCGCUCGUUGCGGGACUUAACCCAACAUUUCACAACACGAGCUGACGACAGCCAUGCACCACCUGUGCACCACCCUCGAAGGCGACGAUGUUUCCAUCGCGUGCAGGUGCAUGUCAAGCCCUGGUAAGGUUCUUCGCGUUGCAUCGAAUUAAGCCACAUGCUCCACCGCUUGUGCGGGCCCCCGCCAAUUCCUUUGAGUUUUAAUCUUGCGAUCGUAGUUCCCAGGCGGUUCACUUAAUGCGUUAGCUGCGGCACCGAAGCAGAGCCCCGACACCUAGUGAACAUCGUUUAUGGCCAAGACUAC
rnacentral:misc_RNA from 1 species